GGGGCGAGCACGGGAGAAACUUUUCCCCGCCCGCUUCCACUCCGCCCCGCGGCCGCAGCAGUCCCGUGAGCGCGGCCCCGCGGGUUGAGGCACCUCGGUGAGAGCGGCGGCUCUGUGAGGAACCGCCCGUUCUCCGUCCCCGGAGGGCAACGGUACGAGGAGCUCCGCGUCCCGCCAGCGGCUCUGGAGCGAAAGCCGUAUUGAGGCAGAGCCUCCUUCAUAGAGACCGUAGCUCCGCUGAAGGGGAGCCCGCAAAAUUCUUGUCUUUUUUCGUUCACGGAAAACAAAAACAAAAACAAACUUGAAUAAGGAGAGCUGAGGCAGGGUUUAGGAAGCCAUCUCCGCGCAUCCCGUUGGUGACCGCACACCUCACGAGCUCUGAGGAGAUCUGGUCAGCGCCAUCACCGCUAUAGUGAGUCGGUCCUGACACGUGUCUGUUCCCAGCCUUUCGCAAAUUACAUGACAGAAUAGACCAAAUAAUGACUACUCGCAGAGCAGAUGAUGAAUUACCUCCAAGUCAUUAAGUCCUUGCAGGAAAAAUAGAAGUGUUUGAGAAUGAACUCACUACUUCUGUUUUUCACAUGAAGAGGCAGUAGUUGGGGGAGCUGUAGAAUGAACUUGAAAACAUUCUUAAGAGAGCACCGGCAGAAGAAAUCUCACGUGUAUUUCAGGAUGUAUGCAAAAUGUCCUGCACAAUGAAAUGUGAAAGAAGAAGGGAGAAGCAGGGAAGUCAGAUGAGAACAUGGUGCCACAGCAGCUGUGUCUGCCAGUAUGUAAGAAGCCACUUGUUCAGUGCACUCUGCAAAGCAAAAAUGGAAACAAGCUAUUACUUUGUUUUGUGUUUACAUCCUGACAUUUCUAAACAGAAGAAGAAUGUAGAACACUUGUGGAAGAGAUGCUUUUCUCUUAAAUUUGCAAGAAAUAACA